rnacentral:rRNA from 1 species
AUACGUAGGGGGCGAGCGUUGUCCGGAAUGAUUGGGCGUAAAGGGCGCGUAGGCGGCCCGGUAAGUCUGGAGUGAAAGUCCUGUUUUUAAGAUGGGAAUUGCUUUGGAUACUGUCGGGCUUGAGUGCAGGAGAGGUAAGUGGAAUUCCCAGUGUAGCGGUGAAAUGCGUAGAGAUUGGGAGGAACACCAGUGGCGAAGGCGACUUACUGGACUGUAACUGACGCUGAGGCGCGAAAGUGUGGGGAGCAAACAGGAUUAGAUACCCUGGUAGUCCACACUGUAAACGAUGAAUGCUAGGUGUAAGAGGUAUCGACCCCUUUUGUGCCGGAGUCAACACAAUAAGCAUUCCGCCGGGGGAGUACGGCCGCAAGGUUGAAACUCAAAUGAAUUGACGGGG